UUGAUCCUGCCGGAGGUCACUGCUAUUGGGAUUCGACUAAGCCAUGCGAGUCGCGAGGGUUCGGCCCUCGGCUGACGGCUCAGUAACACGCGGAUAAUCUGCCCUUAGGUGGAGGAUAACCUCGGGAAACUGAGAAUAAGACUCCAUAGAUCUAGGAGGCUGGAAUGCACUUAGAUUAAAAACUUCGGUGCCUAAGGAUGAGUCCGCGGACUAUCAGGUAGUAGUCAGGGUAAUGACCUGACCAGCCUACGACGGAUACGGGUUGUGAGAGCAAUAACCCGGAGAUGAUAUCUGAGACACGAUAUCAGGCCCUACGGGGCGCAGCAGGCGCGAAAACUUCACACUGUGCGAAAGCACGAUGAGGGAAUCCCAAGUGCUGACUCGUAAGAGUCAGCUGUUUUUCUGUCUAGAAAACAGAGAGAGUAAGGGCUGGGUAAGACGGGUGCCAGCCGCCGCGGUAAUACCUGCAGCCCGAGUGGUGGCCGCUAUUAUUGGGCCUAAAACGUCCGUAGCCGGUCUAGUAAAUGCCUGGGUAAAUCGUACGGCUUAACCGUACGAAUUCCGGGUAGACUGCUGGACUUGGGACUGGGAGAGGCUAGAGGUACUCCUGGGGUAGAGGUGAAAUUCUGUAAUCCUAGGGGGACGACCAGUGGCGAAGGCGUCUAGCUAGAACAGGUCUGACGGUGAGGGACGAAGCCCUGGGGCACAAACGGGAUUAGAUACCCCGGUAGUCCAGGGUGUAAACGCUGCUUGCUUGAUGUUAGUCGGGCUCCGAGCCCGAUUAGUGUCGGAGAGAAGUUGUUAAGCAAGCUGCCUGGGGAGUACGGCCGCAAGACUGAAACUUAAAGGAAUUGGCGGGGGAGCACCGCAACGGGUGGAGCGUGCGGUUUAAUUGGAGUCAACGCCGG
rnacentral:rRNA from 1 species